rnacentral:rRNA from 1 species
UACAGAGGUCUCAAGCGUUGUUCGGAAUUAUUGGGCGUAAAGGGCGCGUAGGCGGCUUGGCAAGUGGAAGGUGAAAGUCCCUCGGCUUAACCGAGGAACUGCCCUCCAAACUGCUUUGCUUGAGGCCGGGAGAGGUGAGUGGAAUUCCCGAGUGUAGCGGUGAAAUGCGUAGAUAUUGGGAAGAACACCUGAGGCGAAGGCGGGUUGCUGGGCUGAUACUGACGCUGAGGCGCGAAAGCCAGGGGAGCAAACGGG